AAAUACAUGUAAAUAUUUAUUUGCAAAAUACAUAUAUAUUUAUGUUAUAUAAUUUAGACUGGAAAUAAAUAUAGUAAAUAUAUACAACUAACAUACUCUUUCUGAAAUGUUUACAUGCGUGUGUGUGUACAUAUACAUAAUAAAUCUACACAUUGCACAUGCAUAUCUUUAAGUAAAGAAAAACUUUUAUUUUGGAUGUAAUUAAUCGUGAUUAAUCCCUCGACGGCACUAAAAUAAAAAAAACAACCUGUAACAAAUAUCAUAAAUGUAUACAAAUUGCUGCAUAUUUAAUUAAAUACCUCCUCAGUUGCAUAUUUUAACAUAACAUUUCAGAGAAAAAAAUUAAAUUGCAAUGUAAUCAAUCAACUAUGGAAAUCUGCAAUCAUUUUUUUUUAAACCCUAUUCACCUGGGGUGUCAUUUUAGAAAACAGUCCCACGGGAUAAAACCCUUGUGCGAUUGCUGUCACAAACUGAGCUUCGGCAGAAGGAUCAGAAAUGGACAAAUCCACUCGUAAUGACAGUAUUUGCUCUCACAGGCUGAAACGAGAAGCUACAGUAAAGGUCUGGCGACGCGGCGCGCUCGCUUCACUCAUUCACUCCUCACUACCACGGUGUUCAAUCCAAACCCCGCUCCUCAAGCUUGGCUUAGUGUUGCCAUGGAAAUCCCGACUGUUUGCUCUCAAAACACAUCCAGACAAGAAACGACAUGAUCUCUCCGGUCCUAGCCCGGCGGAGCUGAACUACACGGUGGACGAGAACGCGGGGACAUCCUCAUCAGUCCCGCAGCCCAUCUCAAACACACACACACACACACAAACAAAUAUUGAUGGAUUUGCAUAGAUGUCGAUCAGAUGGCUCGGGUUUUAUAGAGGGUUUAUGAAAAUGAGCUCUUCCUGCAGUUGCCAGAAAGAUGAACUGGGGCGAGGGACAGUGUAGACGGUAGGUCAGAUGGAGGAACGUGCCUCUGAGUUAUUCAUUACAUUCUUUCUGUCCCAUCCUUGCUGCCUUCCUCAUUACCAGGCUAAUUUCUCCAGCCUCUCUGCGCACAAUGGAGCCUUUGUGUGUGUGUGUGUGUGUGUGAGCGCGUGCGGGAGCAGGCUGAGCCCCUGUUCGACUGAAACUGUCCAACCUUACCCCAGCAGGUAUUCCUUUUGGCCUUUAAAGUCGUGUUUGCCAUCUGCAAAGCUUUAAGUUCUCACAGCCCCGCUCGAAAACCUGCGCCGAAAGGUCACCCAGAUGUCUUUCUCUCGCUUUAGUGGGAACCUGUUUGCGGUGAGGUCACCCAGAUAACUCGCAGCGAACGGCCAAAACGGUCACAAGCCAAUCGUCCAGCCCGGAGCAGAACGCCGAGGCUCAAGUCCAUUUUCCUGUCUGUUGGAGUUAAAGAGGAUGCAUCACUGAUUGAACAGAGUGAGCCUGGUGAAAUGUGGAGAAAUAGAGAAGUGUUUUUCUUGGACUCCAAACAAUGAUUGUUUUCACAAUUGCAGUCGGCAGGGCAUCAGUGUUGGAGAUGGAGAAAGCAGAUCACUCACUUAAUGGCUCCCUUUUUACUGUCUCUCCCUUAACUGGCUCAACCAUAUGGAUUUGAGGACAAAGACAUUACAUUUAUGCUAAUUACAACAGCCAUGUGCAGACAAAGGACCGCAAAGGUGUACCUGUACCAUGACAAAGAGACUGUGAAUGCCAUGGCACAAAUAUGAAAAGCCAAACGGGGGGAGGGUGGGCAUGUGAGUGAGUUUGUGUGUCUGUGUUUGUUCCAUCAGUGGAGAAUGUGACAUUUGAAGGAUGAGAGACCCUUUUCAUGCUGGAAACUGGAAACUUAGAAGACAUUUUCAUUUCAUUUAUGCACUUCACAGGGGACAGAGAAGCAGAAAAACAGAGCGGCAAAGAGGAAGUUUGGAAGACAGGGAAGUUAGUGGAGAACAAAAACAGAAAGAACAUAAAGAACUUAAGACAAGUAUUAAGACAGGGUUUUAAGGUGGUACGUCACACCAAAAAACUUCCCAGCAUCCCUUCUGCUCAGCAAACGAUGACGCAUCAUUCUGCUGACACAAGUCAGCUGAUUGCUGUGUCACGGCAAUGGUUUUAGGCGAGUGGCAGCGCUCCGGCUACAGACGUAGAGUCUUUUUUUCCUCCCAGACGCACUGCGGCACAGCCAGACGACUAGAGUGGAGGCACAGGAGCUCACAGCUGCAGUCUACUGGCUUGUUUCGGGGAGGCACAGGAGCCGAGCACUUCCUCUCGAAAUACCGUCGCUCUGCUCCUUUUCGCCGUUGAAGGAUCGUUUUCAUUGGGGCAGAGAGUAGAGCCAAAAAAGAAGACGAACUCUUGAGUCGAGCGACUUGGAAUUAACGUCGGUCUCAUUUGUAGACAGAAAAUUUGGAGAAUCGAGCCCGGUGAUUUUUUGGGGGGUUGUUUGCGCCAUCGUUUGCCGAUACCAGACCGGGUUCCCAGGCUGAGAAGUGGGCGCUAAAAACUUGGAUUCCAGUGCGUCACCUGUCCAUCCAGUCGUAAACCUGUCCCACGCAAGACGUCCAGUCAACCGGGCCCGUCUGCGUUCCCAUUCGCAGCGACCGGCCAAAGUGGCUGCUCCGCUCCAAGGUUAAGGUGGCUUUGGGUCCUAGACCUAGUCCUUGUCCAGAGGGCAGGGCAGAGGCGAGCAGAAAUGGCGACGCGGCAGCUGAGGCGAGCUCAGCCAGACAGACGCGGUGACCUAAAUCAGCCCCAGUCAUGUCUGGACGCAGCCAGAGCGAGGCAGACGGAGAGGAAGACAGAACGAGUGAGGGAGUGAGAGAGCGACCCACACGUACCGACUCGAACAUAUACUCGCACUACGUAAACGGCCGGAUAAAAGGCGGGCUGAAGUGAGUUGGUCAGACAGGCCUUGCCAAACCCACAGGCUGUUCUGCUGCUUUGCUACCGCUGCGGUGUUUUGAUGUGCGCUACUGUGCAGAUGCAGUUUUUGGGCGAUAACCAACAAGCUACCGUACAGGAGGAGACUCUGGGAAAGUAAGGGAUAUCUUUCAAGGUUAGUGUCAAAUCCCAAGGGCGCCAUGAUGCAGCUGUUGCUUUAGCACAAUGUCAGAUUGCCGGGCCGUGUGGCAUCUGUCCCUGCUUGCCACGCCAAAAAACAGUUCCACAGAAGAAAGGAUGCCCUUGUGAAAAAGAAGUGUGCUUAAUUGUGUUGAACAUGCAGUUGUACUACAGUUUUUAAAAAGCAUAUAUACUAGUUAAACAAUUCAUCAUGAUUAAAAGUUUUUGUUGACAUAAUAUAUGUACAUGUAAUUAUUAUUAUUAUUAUUAUAUUAGCGCUCUCAAAUGAUUAAUUGUAUCCAAAAUAAAAGUUUUUGGUUGACAUAAUAUAAUACUAUAAAUUUGUCAUAAUUGUUUGUCAAUGCAUUUCGGCAGUACAUUUUAACCAUAUUUAAUGCAAUUUAAAUAAUUAUGAAAUUAUAAAUAAAGAUCCUGAAGAUCCUUAAGUCCUAUAAAGGUCAGCUUUUUAAAUUUUAUGAACAUUUUAAAAUACAGUUAGAAAGUAUUUUUUUUAUACAGUAAAAAUACAGGCAGAAAACAUUGCAUUGUUCACAUUUUUGCUUAUUAUUCUGAAGUAUAUUAUGUCCAUGGAUGGCACUAGAAUUUUUUUUUCCUGUAUGAACAGUAGUAAAACACCAUUAACAAUAUGCGUUAUUUUAUCUCAAUGUAGAUUACCAUGUACCACCCUGAGAAUAUUUUUUUUUCCUGUCACGUGUUUUCCUUUCAACUGUUUAGAAAGAAAACCAACAGUCACACCAGGCCUGUACCGUCUCAAAAGGGCCUACUAAGCUUUAUGUACUAAUAUGAACUCUUUAGGGGUAAAAAGUAGAGUAGGUAGCCUAAAACAGACAACAAAAAGAAAGCUGUCUACAACUUAUAUCAAUUUAUAUCCAAAACUAGAAACACCACCGAUUAAAUCCAUAAUAGGUAUACUAAAAUGCACUUCUUUUUCACAAGUAUGUUCAUGUUCCAACUCUUGCCCUUUAACUGAGGACAGUCGAAUUCUUCCUUACCCUCAAAAUCAACUGGACCGCCUCGUUUUUAUCCAUAUCAGCACACUGCUAUUCUUACAAGCAUUAAAUAUUCUCCGCGGGGUCAGUUGAGUGCCCAUGUUUGCGGAUGGAAGCGCAUGACCGAGCUCUCGGACGACCUCGCACCACGUUGCACGGCUUACACAACAAGUCCAUAAUGAGACGUAGGUAUUAGUCAGUCGUCUAGCCUAACAGUUACUGGCUGCUCCCACGCUAGGAUGCGCUGCGUGUUAUUGUGUUCCACCGGUGGCCUGCAGCGCACGAAUAAACACUACACCAGACUGAUGGAAAAACUCCAAAACCGUAAGAACAACAUGUACAAACCGGGACGGAGAGCAAAGUCAAUAAAUCUGAAAGCCUUCAAAGCUUCCCGAGAACAGACAAGCGAUGAAAGGCCACGAUCGGCACCUGUUCGCUUUGAAAAUGUCACUUCUCUUUCACACUUUGAGUAUUUAUACAAACCCCGCAAUACUAGAGACUGGGAGAGCUACCUAACCAGUGGAAAAGAGAAAGAGCGAUGCUGCAGUCGAAGUGCGGGGCCUUUCUCACUGGUUGUUGUUUAUGUGUUGAUCUGCCCAGAGGUGAUCCACGAUCAAACCUAACUCAAAAGCAGUCUCUUCUGCUUGAUCUUACCACUCAGUACAUGAAGCCCAUGCAGCGCUACUGGAGCAGAAUGAAGGGACCUUCAGGGCCAAACUUCCUCCCUGCUCUCCAUCAACAGAGAGAAGGACAAAAUGUUUUCUACAACACGAGUUCUGCUUGCACAAGCAACGCAUAAGUCACCCGUAAUGACUCUGCAUAUAAACACAUACUGACACCCACCGAACUACACCCCGUGUUGUUAACUUACAUGUAAGUAAUACAUAGCGUGUUCAAUUACUGUCUGAGUGAUGUAUUGCUGCAUACCAUAUCCAAGACAUUUGUUUAUUAUUGUUGUUUAAAAAUGGUACUAGAGGCUACAGCACAUGGGACGACAGACUGCAUUUUUCAUAUUCAAGCAUUUUUCUUCUUUGUUUCAGUAAGAAAAUCCUGCUCCAGUGUGCCACAAGUCAUGGGGGAAGACAGGGUUUUGGACGGAGAAAGGAAACCUUUGUUUUUUUUCUGUCCAUGGAGAAGUAUGUGAAGGCAUAAAUUCAUAAUGUCUCUCCAAGUAGCAUACAGUCAAACCAAAAAUUAUUCAGACACCAGACAUACAGUAUAGUGGGUGCAGGACAAUAAGUGAAGAUAGCAAAAUAAAGCAAACUGUGACUUAUUAUGCCUAAAAAGUGUUUUAUUGUGGAUUUGGGACCAAGAAAUACCUAACUUAUGUAGGUCAACCAAUUUAUUUUCGACACAGUCUAACACAAGGAUGGCUAAAACCAAUGAAAGAUCAACUGAUUUGAGAAUAAAGGUAGUUAAAUUCAACAAGCAGGGCUUUUCAAUUAGAAAUAUAGCUAAAAGAUUAGAUAUGCCUAAAGGGACGGUCUUUUCCAUUGUAAAGAAAUUCAGAGAGACUGGCGAGGUGAAGAAUUUGCCUGGCCGUGGAAGAAAGAAAAAGACGACAGCCAGAACAGACAGACUUAUUAAACAGUUAGCGAAGAAAAACAGAAAGAUUUCUGCUAAAAAAAUUGCUGCUGAAGUCAAAAAGGCCACUGACACAGAACUGUGUGCUCAAACCAUUCGCAACAGGCUGAAUGACCCCAGAAGAAUGCCCCAGAAGACACCCUCGAAAUCAAAGACGACGCCUCCUCCAGUUUGCUGAAGAACAUAUCGAUAAGUCUACAGAAUUUCGGAAGUCAGUCCUUUGGAGUGAUGAGAGUAAAUGUGUGGAGGACCAAAGGAGAAGCCUUGAAGCCCCAGUGUCUUACUCCUACUGUAAAUAAUGGAGGGGGCAAUGUUAUGCUGUGGGGGUGUAGGGCAGCUAGUGGACUAGGCAAACUACAUUUCAUUGAUGGAACUAUGAACUGUGAGUGGAAGUUCUCCAGAGUCAGAUGCUGCCGUCAGCCAGGAAGCUCAUGGGCCGUCGUUUCAUAUUUUAGCAUGAUAAUGGAACCAAACACAAUGCAAAAAAGCUCUGGCCACCGCAAAGUCCAGAUCUAACCCCGACUGAGCAUAUCUGGGAGGUGAUGGAACAUCUUAAUCUCAUACUAACAGUUGUCUGAAUCAUUUUAGGUUGACUGUAAUCUGUUACAUACCUUUCUACCAAAGUUAUCUGAUAUUAUCAAGAUUAAUUCAUGCUGACAGUUUAAUUCUGAGCUCUUGUCAUAUCUUCUAAACUGUUGAAAAUAAACUUUCAUAAUGUGAGAAAUGUUAAAGGUGUCUGGAAUUUUUGGUUUGACUGUUGGGAAAGCUAUUGUAAAACUAGCUUGCUAAGGUAAGACACAUUUAAAGCAGUUAAACUACUGUCAGUGUACUUAAGAUAGCAGGCUAAAAGUAGACUGAGUCAAGCUAUUUAAAAAGGCAGUAAAAUUCUGUCAUCUUUUACUCAACCUCAAGUUGUUCAAAACCUGUAUUAAUUUUCUUUCUUCUGUUGAACACAAGGUGUUGUAGAUCAGAAGGUAACCUUGUUUUGGUAACCUUUGACUUUCAUUGUAUGGUCAAAUAAGACAGACAUUUCUAAUUAAUCAGAUAAUCAGGUUUUUGAUUGAAUGUACAGCGAGACUAAACAUAUAAACUCCUCAUUAUUAUUUAAUUUUAUUUAGUUUAAUUGUAUUAUCUUGUUUUCUUUUUUUUAUUUCAAAUUCUCACCAAGGCUUGAAUUUAUUUAAUUGAAAAGCUAGGUCAAAAACAUCUGUGCAGCUUAUUGUUUUUGUGUAAACUCCAAUAUAUUUUUUCAAGUUUCUUUGUGUAGUUCAAACUGCAUUUAUUAACAGUACAUGUCAGUAAAUCAAUUUCAUCAAUUUAAUGCGUCCUUGAUAAUAAUUAAAAAUAUCAUCCCCAGUUACUCCAUACUUUCAAACAGUAGUCUACAUUUGAAUAAAUAGAAGUAAACUAGAAUACAAUCUAAUUUGCAUAACUAAACAGUAGCAUUUACCUUAAUAUUCCCCAAAAUAUUCUGCUGUACUGCCGUUGAUAAAUGUAGUUCAGCUAAAACUUUCAGUUAUUCUUAUUUCCCAGUUAUUUCCCAAAACAAGUUGCCAAUAUAAACCGUUGAACAGCAUAUCUAGCUUGAGAGGUAUAAAGACACUUCAACCGCAGCACCUUCUCACACAAGAUCUCUGACAGGAAUAAAAUUCGGUGCAAUUUACACCAAAGUCUAUGUGAAAGAGCCCAUUGUCACUGUGGAAUAGGUAAAUACGAUAUGAGCCUGAACAUUCCCUAUGCUGGUGUAUUUUUCCAUAACACCAAGUUGCUCUUUUACACUCAUAACCCUACGUGUCACAUCCUGCCAGAGGAUUUUAAAGACGUUGUGCAAUUUUCAAUAAUGUUCCUCAGGUCCUAAAGGAGCUCAAUAACUCCAGGCCUACAGAGGCCACUGAAUCAGCAUUUCAAAGUGAAACUCCUUUCCACAAAGACCUUUGAAUUGAAAUAGAAAAGUUUCUCCUUCCCAGCCGUACGGGCUCAACUCUGAUUGACCCCUCUCAAUCUGUGCCUCUCUGUUGUAAAGAACAGGCAUAAAAUAAGGCAGAGUUAAUAGAGUUUAAGACUAAGAGCCAAACCGCAUUGGAAUAGGAAGGAGAUGGAAAAGAGUCAAGGGAGGGAGAGCGACUGAGGCCGAGAGAGACUGAGCAAAGGGAGGAGAGAGAGAGCGAUCCCUAAGGGAGAGGGAUUGGGUCCGGGCUGCCUGAGGAGAUUCUCGCCUCUAAUUGGCUGAAUGCCUUGGCGUUCCCACAAUGCCUCGCGUUUCAGUGACUUUCUCUAAAGUCUCGAAGGACUCUUCAAGGUUACCGUCACUCUUCAGCGUUAUCGCUGCUCUCUAAGCCACUGUAGCAAAUCUGCUUUUAGCGUAGCCAUGACGGACUAUUGAGAAAAGCUGAAUAUUCAAAACCGGAAUGGGUCAUCAUUCAACUUCAACUUUUGUGAUAUACAGUAGUUCGCUCAGCCCCACAAUAAAACAGGCAUUAGAGUAAAACAUCGAUGCUGAACCGUAACUCGAUUUUCUCAUGCAUGUGUUUGUUUUUCCAGCAGUCGGAGUCGUGCUGCGACUGAAUUCUGUUUGCGUUAAUUUCGCCGCCUUCCCCUCAAACAGAUUGUUGUGAAAUAAAGAGGGUGUAAUGAAAAGCGUGCCCUUGAAUCCAAAAGCCAUUGAGGUGUCUUUUUACUUCCAUUCCUGCAGAGAUCUGCCUUGUGCUUUUCUUCCAGCAUUUGCUAAAGCUAACCGAAUAAGCGCGUGUGUGUAUCAAAGUGGAAUCAAAUAAAGAAAUCAUCUCUGC